AGCAGCCGCGGUAAUUCCAGCUCCAAUAGCGUAUAUUAAAGUUGUUGCAGUUAAAAAGCUCGUAGUUGAAUUUCGGGACCAAUAUGUCGGUCGUGCCUCGGUACGUACUGGUGUCAUUGGUUUCUCCCUUCUGAGGAUCCUUGAUGUCAUUAAUUUGGUGUCUUGGGGAAUCAGGACUGUUACCUUGAAAAAAUUAGAGUGUUUAAAGCAGGCAUACGCUUGAAUACAUUAGCAUGGAAUAAUGAAAUAGGACGUUCGAUUCUAUUUUGUUGGUUUCUAGGAUCGACGUAAUGAUUAAUAGGGAUAGUUGGGGGCAUUAGUAUUCAAUUGUCAGAGGUGAAAUUCUUGGAUUUAUUGAAGACUAACUACUGCGAAAGCAUUUGCCAAGGAUGUUUUCAUUAAUCAAGAACGAAAGUUAGGGGAUCGAAGACGAUCAGAUACCGUCGUAGUCUUAACCAUAAACUAUGCCAACUAGGGAUCGGAUGAUGUUAAUUUUUAAUGACUCAUUCGGCGCCUUAAC
rnacentral:rRNA from 1 species